UACGUAGGGCGCAAGCGUUAUCCGGAAUUAUUGGGCGUAAAGAGCUCGUAGGCGGUUUGUCGCGUCUGCCGUGAAAGUCCGGGGCUCAACUCCGGAUCUGCGGUGGGUACGGGCAGACUAGAGUGAUGUAGGGGAGACUGGAAUUCCUGGUGUAGCGGUGAAAUGCGCAGAUAUCUGGAGGAACACCGGUGGCGAAGGCGGCAUCCUGGACCGACACUGACGCUGAGGAGCGAAAGCCAGGGGAGCAAACGGG
rnacentral:rRNA from 1 species